CCACAACAAGCCCACAAGCAAUAGAGGCUCCCCCAAGCCCUCUGGAUGUUAAAUAAUCGCUGCACUUCUUCAGGGGACUGAAACUGAAACAAGCUUCAGCUUCUAAAAUACCUCACUGUACUGAAGAUGUUUCAGCUCUCAGCUCUAAGGAGGUUGAGCUCUUCUGCUGGGAGGUGCGAUUGCACUGGCAAAAGGUGAUGCUGAGGUUGGAUUUGUGAACGGCACUUCUCUCCUUGUCAAAGGCUGUGAAGGCCCUGUGAAAGCAGGGUUUUUAGGCGUGCAGAAAAUGCCCCCUGGCUGGUACAAUUGAUCACGCCACUUUGGAUGAUCAGGCUUUUAAAGCUAGGCUGUAUGGGAUUUUGCCACUGAUGGACAAGAAUGUGCCAUUAGCGCUGGGAUGUGAACUGCUGCAGCAGUCCAUUUGCUAAGGUAGGAUAUCUGUCAUCUAGCUAUGGUUUUUGAAGGGCAGACCAUGUGGUGUGUAAGAUAUCAAUUCUUUUGUGAAAAGGCCCCCCCAAAUAGUAGCACUAU